rnacentral:rRNA from 1 species
UACUAGAGUAGCACUCGCAUAUCAAUAAGCGGAGGAAAAGAAACUAACAAGGAUUCCCCUAGUAACGGCGAGUGAAGCGGGAAGAGCUCAAAUUUGAAAUCUUAAAGGGUUUCCCUAUACGAAUUGUAGUUUAAAGAAGUGUUUUCUGUUGAGGUUUUGGUAAAAGUUCCUUUGGAAUAGGACAUCAUAGAGGGUGAGAAUCCCGUAUUUGACCUUUACUUUCAACUUUGUGAUACACUUUCAAAGAGUCGGAUUGUUUGGGAAUGCAGUCCAAAAUGGGUGGUAAAUUUCAUCUAAAGCUAAAUAUUGGCGAGAGACCGAUAGCGAACAAGUACCGUGAGGGAAAGAUGAAAAGAACUUUGAAAAGAGAGUUAAACAGUACGUGAAAUUGUCAAAAGGGAAGCGUUUGACACCAGUGUUGUUUUUCUGAAAAUCAAUUAAAGAACUGUUUAUGCUAAGUUGUUUAGACUUUAUCAGCUAAUCUGUUUAGUUUUGAGCUUUUCUUUAAUGCACUUUUCAGUUAACAAGUCAACAUCAAUUUCUUUUGCUGUAAAAAAGCUUGAGGAAGGUGGCUUGAGAUUCGUCUUAAGUGUUUAUAGCCUCUUGCCUAUGCAGUCGGAGAGAUUGAGGUCUGCAGCGUAGAUCCUUCGGGGCUAAAUGCAUUUGUGCUAAGUUAUAGCAUUUUAUAGACAACUUGUUGACUAUGAUUUGUCUUGUAGCUUACUCGCUUAUGUCAUUUUACCUACGCUUAGGAUGUUGAGCGCAUGUCUCUCUCU